rnacentral:rRNA from 1 species
AUUGAACGCUGGCGGCAGGCCUAACACAUGCAAGUCGAGCGGAUGAAGAGAGCUUGCUCUCUGAUUUAGCGGCGGACGGGUGAGUAAUGCCUAGGAAUCUGCCUGGUAGUGGGGGAUAACGUCCGGAAACGGGCGCUAAUACCGCAUACGUCCUACGGUAGAAAGCAGGGGACCUUACGGCCUUGCGCUAUCAGAUGAGCCGAGGUCGGAUUAGCUAGUUGGAGAGGGAAUGGCUCACCAAGGCUACGAUCCGUAACUGGUCUGAGAGGAUGAUCAGUCACACUGGAACUGAGACACGGUCCAGACUCCUACGGGAGGCAGCAGUGGGGAAUAUUGGACAAUGGGCGAAAGCCUGAUCCAGCCAUGCCGCGUGUGUGAAGAAGGUCUUCGGAUUGUAAAGCACUUUAAGUUGGGAGGAAGGGCAGUAAGUUAAUACCUUGCUGUUUUGACGUUACCGACAGAAUAAGCACCGGCUAACUUCGUGCCAGCAGCCGCCGUAAGAC